UACGGAGGGGGCUAGCGUUGCUCGGAAUCACUGGGCGUAAAGCGCACGUAGGCGGCUUUCUAAGUCGGGGGUGAAAUCCUGGAGCUCAACUCCAGAACUGCCUUCGAUACUGGGAAUCUUGAGUCCGGGAGAGGUGAGUGGAACUGCGAGUGUAGAGGUGAAAUUCGUAGAUAUUCGCAGGAACACCAGUGGCGAAGGCGGCUCCCUGGCCCGGUACUGACGCUGAGGUGCGAAAGCGUGGGGAGCAAACAGG
rnacentral:rRNA from 1 species